rnacentral:rRNA from 1 species
GGUUUGCCCCCGUGACUCUGCGAGAAGUCCAUUGAACCUUAUCAUUUAGAGGAAGGAGAAGUCGUAACAAGGUUUCCGUAGGUGAACCUGCGGAAGGAUCAUUG